UAUAGGUAAUGAUCUGAUGGACUAUCCCCUCUAGUGAUGGUGUUGUAGGUAAUGAUCUGAUGGACUAUCCCCUCUAGUGAUGGUGUUGUAGGUAAUGAACUGACGGACUAUCCCCUCUAGUGAUGGUGUUAUAGGUAAUGGACUGACGGACUAUCCCCUCUAGUGAUGGUGUUAUAGGUAAUGAA